CAAUCAGAAUAAAAAUGAAUAAUUACAAUUAAGUGUCUAUUUUCUAUUUUUACACCUCUAUAUUUCAAAUUUCCUCAAAUUUUGAUCUCUCAGCCAAUCUCCCCAUUAUUUCAAAAUCAUUUUCUCUUCUGUAGCUCCCUCUGUCCUGGUUUAGCUGUAUCUGUUUUUGCGUUCGUUUUAAAUUUUCUCGAUUCAAAAUUAAAUGCUCCAAAAUCAUAAGUUUUCUUCUUCUCUAAAUCCCUAAUAAAUUCCCCCAUUCAAUCGCUCAUCUCUCUCUCUCUGCCUUUUGUUUUCUCAAUGGCUACUACAGUUUUCAAGACAACUACCAGGAAGGCUUCCCUCGCUAACUCUCUCGGUGCAAAUGAGCGGUGGAACAGGUGGGCAGAGGCUAGGGACUAGGGCGGCACACCUAGUUUUUUGUUUUGUUUUUCUGUUUAUUUUUGUAUUGGGCUGUUUUGGGUUUUGGCCAUUUGGGUUACUAUUCUUUUCUUUGUAAUUGGGCUACUGCUUUUUUGUUUUAUUUUGUUUUUGUUUUAUUUAUUAUUUGGCCCCCGGGCAAAAUAGGCCCAUUACACAAAAAAAAUGAAGCAAAAUACAAUUAUAAAUAUUUCUAAAAAAAUUGCCCACGAGGCCCACAGUUUGUAGCAGCCAGGGGUAAGGGGAAAAAUAGAGCUUAACAAAAAAAUACAAAAAAGUUUGUUGCUCGCUCCAUGUUGAUUUCUUAUUUGAGUUUCUUAGAGCAGAGAGACCCUAACUCUCUCUAUAUUCUUCUUUUGCUUUUCAUUUUUUCUUCAUUAGCGUUUGGCCAGAUUUUUCUUUUUUUUGCAAUUCAAAAUGUCAAAAAAAAAAUGAUGAUAAAGAUUUAGUAGCGGAGGUUAUGCUUUCCACGCAUGGAGAUAAUGUUGUUGCUAAAUAAACCUCGAAAAUUCCAUCGGUCUAUUGUGAAACCUUUAAAAGGCCAUCAGUCCAUGAAAAAGCCUCUAAAACACCAUCGGUCCAGGAAGAAACCUCCACAACAUCGAUUGUACAAGGAGACACCUCCAAAAGGAAGACUGCAAAAAAAAAAAAAAAAAAGAAGCAAACUAAAAAGAAAAAGAAUCAAACGGAAGUCCAAAUGUCGUUUGAGAUGUGAGUUAUAGCGUUACGUUUUAACUCUUUUUUUUUUUGUAUCAAGGUGAUUUGAUUGAUAAUCUUAAUGAAGGAUGGAAUCUGCUGAGAAAACCUUGUAUCAUAUUUUGAAGGAAGCCGGCGGUAAGGUUAAGAUCAGAGCUGACUUGGUAAAAGCACUAAAAAAUAAACGAUUUGAGCCAAAUGUGGUGACAAAUGUGCUUGGCGAAAGGUUGGACCGUAAACUAGCUCCCGGUGGAGGAGAGAGGUUCAUAAGAUUGAAUAAAUCAAAGAAGGCUAUAAAAAUUUAGUUGGAGAGUGCUGAGGAGACCAGAAUUGAGACUAUCCCUCCCCUUAAGCCUCCGCAAAAUAAAACUUGGGUUAGAGAGCUCAAAGAGCUCAGGGAAGAGCCAAAAAAGGUGUGCACCUUUCUAUUUUUUGUCAUUCACUAUUUAUUGGUUUUUUUGCCUUUAUAUUUGUUUAUGAUUCGAAUCAUUUUAUUCAUGUAAAAAACAAAAAACAAAAAAAAAAGUGAUAUGAAGCAAAUUAAAGAAA